UUGUUAUUUAAUAAAUAUUAUAACUUUCAUUUUUAUUGAUUCGUAAUGUGAUCUGUACUGUACUGCUUACUUAUUCUUUGAUAUUGCACCUAGAUAAUUCUGCUAUCCUUAAUUUUUACAUGGAAUUACAGAGAUUCUGGGAGGACAAGAGAUGUUUCUAGAGACACAGAGUAAUUGUAGAAUGACAGAAUAUGGCAUGCCCGAAGACUCCUCUUCAGUUCAAAUGGUGCUUCUGCCAUUUGGAAGACGUUUUGCACAUUCCUGGCACACUCGCUCAGGUGAGAGGCGUCAAAACUCCAGCCACCAUGAAAGAUCAGGGGCCAAAAAUUGAACAUUUCUGAAUUCUGUAAUUAAUGAGCCUAGAUUUUUACUGCUGAUCUCACACGCUUUGUCACUCUCUUUGAAGUCCAAGUCAUUUCACUGCUCUGUACUUGGAAUCCAUCGUCAAUGAAGUAAACCAAACGUGCAUCACAGUACAUCUGGACGUGGUGUUAAGUACAUUGCAUCAUCGAGAAGCUUAGGAACAGCGAACGCUGGAUGCGACUGUGGCUCAGCUGACUUACGUUCGAAAGGGUAUUAUCACAUAGGAGAAUGAAAACAGCAUAUCUGCUAAGAAGAACCGGAGGAGCCUGAACCUAAAAUCUGCCCUGACCUCGUUGCUUACAGUUUCAUUUAUCCUCAUCUAAGUGUGUAACCAUAAGGCCCUUAUUACCACUGAUUUUGUAUCGAUUUGUCAUAUGCCAAUGCUCACUUGCAACGUACUUGACAUUUGACUGUCAUAAAGAAUGGGGAUUGGCAGGCUUGUGUCAACUCCGCUCUUAACCAAACCGCUGUGUAAUUGAACAGGAAAGCAGUGCUAACAGUACGCAUUUGAUUCCAGUUCAUGUGCCCAGCGGGCUAACAUUUUAGAGUGCCCAUCCUUUACAUCCUAAUGCAUGUCAAAUAGUAUGUAAAUACCAGCAAAUCUGAGGAGAUCUGCAAUGUCUAUAUGUGCCCUAUGCUAAUGAGCACUAUCCCAGGGAACUGGAGGAUUUCCUUUCCCUCUGAACUGUGAAUCAGAGGAUGCUUUUGGCAAGCAGAUUAAUUUAGGAAGCUGCUGGGAGACUGAGCUGUUAAUAGAUGUGAAGCGGUUAGCCCUGGGCCUUGAAUUGUGUAACAGGGAUGAUGAAUAGUACUAAAUAACCACUAAUUCCUUUCACA